AUGAGAACUUCCUGAACUCACUGUUACUGUCAACAAAAAGCGCUGCAUUUUCAUUAUUGUAGUAAAUUGCUCAGCUUUUGUGACUUCUCUUCAUCUCAACGCUCAUGGUUGUUGUCAAACAGAAAGAAGGGCCCGGGUACGCGCAAACGCAGCAUGGUGUGGAAUUACUUCACGCGCCUGGACAGCGUGGGGGCGACGUGCCAAGCCUGCAUGAAGACCGUGAAGAGGUGCGGAAACACCACCAACCUGGUCAAACACCUGCGGCUCAAGCACCGGCCCCAGUACGAGCGCUACACGCUGCAGAGAGCCCAGUCCACGCUGCAGCGCUCCGGCCAGCAGCUGGAGGAUGCUCACGUUUACGAGAGCCUGGAGACAGAUUUGGAUUCCGUUGUUUGCCAGGACACUACUCCAGUGAACCCUCCAGGCUCCAGGGGGCGCAAGAGGAAGAGUCCGGCCCAGAGAGUGUUGCUGGUGAACGGGCUCGGAGCAGCAGCAGCGGACGGUCUGGUCUCCUUCAGGUGAGCCGUGCUCUCAUAAACCGCGCUUCAUUUACUUCCAUUAAGGUUAUUUGCGCAUUUUGUCUGCACUUUUCCUCGUGUCCAUGCUCACUGCUAGCGUAGCUUUAGUUUCUGACGUGGAUGUCACUUUGUAGGAACACGCUGUCAGUCAGUAUGAGCUGUCACUGAAGGACGGGAGAGGAGUUUACCAAGAUAUUGAAACGGACUUCUGAAGUUAUCGCUGUUUCCCCCCUCUCUUUUUGCAGAUCUAUAUAAGCGAACUUUACCAAACUAUUAGUGAUUUUAUUUGAGCAAUUAGAGACAGGAUUUAUUUGUGUUUCUGCCUAUUUCAGUUUAUAAUAUGUGCAAACAAGGGGGACACCGUCAGUCAGUCUCCUUCUGCUGAUUUCCUUAUGUAGCCUGGCUCGAUUAAAAAAAGCAGGUAAUAUGUAAAUGAAGUAUUAUUUUACUUUCUUUUGGAUAUUUCUUA
rnacentral:lncRNA from 1 species